CCUACGGGAGGCAGCAGUGGGGAAUCUUGCGCAAUGGGCGAAAGCCUGACGCAGCCAUGCCGCGUGAAUGAUGAAGGUCUUAGGAUUGUAAAAUUCUUUCACCGGGGACGAUAAUGACGGUACCCGGAGAAGAAGCCCCGGCUAACUUCGUGCCAGCAGCCGCGGUAAUACGAAGGGGGCUAGCGUUGCUCGGAAUUACUGGGCGUAAAGGGAGCGUAGGCGGAUAGUUUAGUCAGAGGUGAAAGCCCAGGGCUCAACCUUGGAAUUGCCUUUGAUACUGGCUAUCUUGAGUAUGGGAGAGGUAUGCGGAACUCCGAGUGUAGAGGUGAAAUUCGUAGAUAUUCGGAAGAACACCAGUGGCGAAGGCGGCAUACUGGCCCAUUACUGACGCUGAGGCUCGAAAGCGUGGGGAGCAAACAGGAUUAGAUACCCUGGUAGUCCACGCUGUAAACGAUGAGUGCUAGUUGUCGGCAUGCAUGCAUGUCGGUGACGCGAGCUACGACAUAAGACGACGUCCGCCGUCGGGAGGUACGGUCGCGAAGUAGUAAACGUUACGAAAGUAAGUUAGUUAGGCGUUGAGACGNGCCGACGGACGACGACGAGGGAGGAGG
rnacentral:rRNA from 1 species